rnacentral:tRNA from 1 species
ACUUAAUUAGUUUAAUUAGAAUAUUGAUUUGUGGUGUCAAUGGUAUAAUAUAUUAUAUUAAGUU